GACGAACGCUGGCGGCGUGCUUAACACAUGCAAGUCGAACGGAAAGGCCCUGCUUGCAGGGUAUUCGAGUGGCGAACGGGUGAGUAACACGUGGGUGAUCUGCCCUGCACUUCGGGAUAAGCCUGGGAAACUGGGUCUAAUACCGGAGAGGAGCCAUUUUUAGUGUGAUGGUUGGAAAGUUUUUUCGGUGUAGGAUGAGCUCGCGGCCUAUCAGCUUGUUGGUGGGGUAAUGGCCUACCAAGGCGGCGACGGGUAGCCGGCCUGAGAGGGUGGACGGCCACAUUGGGACUGAGAUACGGCCCAGACUCCUACGGGAGGCAGCAGUGGGGAAUAUUGCACAAUGGGCGCAAGCCUGAUGCAGCGACGCCGCGUGGGGGAUGACGGCCUUCGGGUUGGAAACUCCUUUCGCUAGGGACGAAGCUUUUUGUGACGGUACCUAGAUAAGAAGCACCGGCUAACUACGUG
rnacentral:rRNA from 1 species